rnacentral:lncRNA from 1 species
GGGCUGCCCUGUAAGUCAGGGAGCAUCUGUGUCCCGGAGUCCCAGGCCCUUUUCAAUGGCGGCAGUGGCCGGGGGUCCCCUGUAAGCAGGGAAGCUGACUCUUUGGCUGCUGCUUUUUGUGUGCCCAGCCCCAUUUGCCCAGUCUGCCCGCCUCUGUGAUCCCCCGCAGCACUGGCUGGAAGUCCGCCGCGUGUCAGUGAGGAGCUGCUGCAGAAGGAAGAAGAAGAAGCGGCGUGGGGACCUGGGAGGCAGGAGCAAGCAAGAAGAGGAAGCGGAAGCGUGCAGAUGCGGGGGGGAAGGAGAGAGGCUCCCUGGGCAAAGCACCUGUCCCGUUAGCAGGGGCACAGUCACGUUUGAGUUGAGAGCUGCC